GGGACUGAGUAACACGUAGGAACGUACCCCAAAGUGAGGCAUAAGCACCAGAAAUGGUGUCUAAUACCGCAUGUGGCCCUCGGGCUAAAGCUCCGGCGCUUUGGGAACGGCCUGCGCAUGAUUAGCUUGUUGGUGAGGUAAAAGCUCACCAAGGCGAUGAUCAUUAGCUGGUCUGAGAGGAUGACCAGCCAGACUGGAACUGAGAACGGUCCAG
rnacentral:rRNA from 1 species